rnacentral:rRNA from 1 species
CAGGCGGCAGGCUUACACAUGCAAGUCGAACGAGGUUAGGGAGCUUGCUCCUGAUACCUAGUGGCGAACGGGUGAGUAAUGCUUAGGAAUCUGCCUAGUAGUGGGGGAUAACUAUCCGAAAGGAUAGCUAAUACCGCAUACGACCUACGGGUGAAAGGGGGCUUUUAGCUCUCGCUAUUAGAUGAGCCUAAGUCGGAUUAGCUAGUUGGUGGGGUAAAGGCCUACCAAGGCGACGAUCUGUAGCUGGUCUGAGAGGAUGAUCAGCCACACUGGGACUGAGACACGGCCCAGACUCCUACGGGAGGCAGCAGUGGGAAUAUUGGACAAUGGGCGAAAGCCUGAUCCAGCCAUGCCGCGUGUGUGAAGAAGGCCUUUUGGUUGUAAAGCACUUUAAGUAGGGAGGAAAAGCUUGUGGUUAAUACCCACAAGCCCUGACGUUACCUACAGAAUAAGCACCGGCUAACUCUGUGCCAGCAGCCGCGGUAAU